UUUCUUUUUAUUCUUUCUAUUUCUCUGCAGAGAUCUAUCUAUCCAUUCGUUAGGGGCUUCUUUUCCUCUACACCCUUGAACAGUUUUUGAUGCUUUAAAUAUCUUUGAGUACUAAGUCCACUAUGUGGGUUCUAUUAUGACCAGGUUCCACUGACUACCUUUUUCUUUUGCAUAUGGGUUAACAUUUCUGUGUGUGUGUGUUUGUGUGUGUGUGUGUGUGUGUGUGUGUGUGUGUGAUUGUAUGUAUGUACACAUACACUUGUGUGUGUCCAGUGAUUUUUACUGUAUUCUGAACUUGUGAAUAACACGUUGUGUAAGCUAUGGUUUCUAUUAGAAUUCCUCUGAAGAGAUUUCAAUCUAAAUUUCUGUCUUAGCAGACAAUUAACUUGGUUGAAUUCAAAUUCCAUAGCCUGUCUUAGCUGUGGUGAACAACAGCUGAUGUCUCUUUGAACUCUUCCAACCCUAAGUGGGUUGUCUCAUACAUUCAUACUUCAAAGGCAUUGAGAAAUUUACGGUUUAGAUUCUGAAUUUGGAGUUCCUUCUCCUUGGCUCUCUUUUCAUGAUUUCUUUCCUCACUGCUCGGCUGUGGCAAUAGCUCUGAACUUCAUCCUUUGAUUUCCCAAGCCAGUAAGACUGCAGGUUUCUAUCUGACUUCUAGAAUCUGGGCGGUGCCAAGUGGGAUCAAGAAGCCCUCAGGUGAGAAUCUGUGAAGACAGAAAAUUCAUUAGUGUGGAUCACUUCUUUCAAGUGUAGAAGUGUCUGCCUGCUGUAGACCCCUUUUCUGUGCUUUAGAUUGUUAGUUUUAGAUAGUCUUAAAAAAUAUUUUGUCCAGACUUUACAGCUGUUAGUUGCAGAAUAUUUGGUCUUAUACAUAUUAUUCUACCCAUUACCACGUUAGUUCUCUUUUGACUUUGUUUAUGACAUUUCUUUGACAUGCAAACAUUGGUUUGUUUUUGUUUUGUGGUACUGGUGACAGAAACAAGGGACACUAGACCACUGAGCUACACAUCCUGUUCUUUUUUAUUUUUUUGAGACAAGAUCUCAUUAAUUUGCCCAGGCUGACCCUGAACUUGUCAUCCUCCUGCCUCAGCCUCCAGAACUGUGGGGAUUAUAGGUGUGAGCCACUAUGCUCAGCUAUUUUUAUAAAGGUAAAUAUGUCACUAUUUUCUUGUAUUGUUUCUGGAUUUUGUGUCACAGAAAGCCUAUUCUUCACACCCAAAUUAAAGAAAAAUUGACCCAUGUUUCCUUUUAGUGCUUAUGAAGAUUUUGUAAAAUUUUGGAACAUUUUUCCUAACACAUCUGGAAUUUUAUAAAGCAGGAGGAUCUGGCUAAGUUGCCCAGGCUGGCCUCAAACUUGCAAUCCUCCUGCCUCAGACUCUUGGGUUGCUGGGAUUACAGGCGUGCACAACCAUGCCUGCCUGCUUUUCGCUUAUUCAAGUGGAUGAACCUCACAAACAUCAUGAUGAGUGAGAGUAACCAGAAACGAAAACAGCGCUUAUCAUAUGUGUCCAUUAAUACAAGGUCCAAAACAGGUGGACACAAUAUCUUUAUUUUACAUUUAUGUGGUGCUGAGGAUCGAACCCAGUGACCUAGGCGAGCACGCUACCACUGAGCUACAACCCCAGACUGCUUAAAGCCAAAUGUGUUCAGUAUGUACCCAGGGCUUUACCGUAUGCAUGUUUGUAUUUACAAAUCCCGGGCUUCAUUUUGUACCUCUAGACUUAUUUCUUUCCUUCUUUCUUCCUACUCUUCAUUUAUGUUAACUUGGUGCAUAUUCCAUACCUAUUUUUAGAUUGACUUUCAGUGAUGUGCUAGAACGCUUGCUUGCACCUGCUGAAUAUCAUGGAAUGUUGUGAGGCCCUUCUUGAACAGUUGAUAGCUUGAAAUUAGCCACCAUGGGAGUGUUUCCACCAUCCAUAUAGACAAUCACCGCAAAAUACAUCUUUACUUUUUUUCUCCCAGGGAGCUAAUAUACUAGCACACCACUGUUUAUAUCCUUAUGGGAAAGGUAAAGUCAAAAUAAAUGUGUUUUUAAAAUUAUUAUUAUGGGGCUGGGGUUGUGGCUCAGUGGUAGAGCGCUCGCCUCCCACUUGCGAGACCCACAUAAAAAUAAAUGAAUAAAAUAAA